GAUGAACGCUGGCGGCGUGCCUAAUACAUGCAAGUCGAGCGAACAGAUGAGGAGCUUGCUCCUCUGACGUUAGCGGCGGACGGGUGAGUAACACGUGGAUAACCUACCUAUAAGACUGGGAUAAUUUCGGGAAACCGGAGCUAAUACCGGAUAAUAUAUUGAACCGCAUGGUUCAAUAGUGAAAGACGGUUUUGCUGUCACUUAUAGAUGGAUCCGCGCCGCAUUAGCUAGUUGGUAAGGUAACGGCUUACCAAGGCAACGAUGCGUAGCCGACCUGAGAGGGUGAUCGGCCACACUGGAACUGAGACACGGUCCAGACUCCUACGGGAGGCAGCAGUAGGGAAUCUUCCGCAAAGGGCGAAAGCCUGACGGAGCAACGCCGCGUGAGUGAUGAAGGUCUUCGGAUCGUAAAACUCUGUUAUUAGGGAAGAACAAAUGUGUAAGUAACUAUGCACGUCUUGACGGUACCUAAUCAGAAAGCCACGGCUAACUACGUG
rnacentral:rRNA from 1 species